UCUAUGGGUUUUAAUCACUUUAAGCUUAAUUUUGCUCCAUAAUCUCCAAAAUGGCCCAAAAUACACCUAAACUUGAAAAAUACCUUAAAAUAUAUUUCAAAUGCAUGAUAAAGAUUCUGAAAAGGAUCUAUACCAUGGCCUAAAGAAAGUAAAUUCCAUGGUAUAUCAACUUCUCCAGACUUAUCCUUUCCUUAUCCUCAAACAAAAUAUAUAACAAAUAUGUGGAAGAGGUUUGAAAACGUAGGGACUCACCAUCUCCUUAAAACACCACCAUCACCUCUACAAUCGUGCAGCCACAUCUCAAGCAUUUCCAUGUCCUCAGGCCUAGCCUAGCAGCCUCGCCAUGCUACAACUCACCAUAUAACAUCUCACGUACCCGUCCU
rnacentral:lncRNA from 1 species